UACGUAGGGGGCAAGCGUUGUCCGGAUUUACUGGGCGUAAAGGGUGCGUAGGCGGGUCUUUUAAGUCAGGGGUGAAAUCCUGGAGCUCAACUCCAGAACUGCCUUCGAUACUGGAAGACUUGAGUCCGGGAGAGGUGAGUGGAACUGCGAGUGUAGAGGUGAAAUUCGUAGAUAUUCGCAAGAACACCAGUGGCGAAGGCGGCUCACUGGCCCGGUACUGACGCUGAGGUGCGAAAGCGUGGGGGAGCGAACAGG
rnacentral:rRNA from 1 species